GGGGCCCAAAAAUUUAAUAAAAAACUUUUUUUUAGUCGAUUUAGAAGAGAAUCGAUUCCCUGGGAAGGAAUUAAGGAACGGUAAUAGCAACGCUACGUGGCAUAUUCUGAUUCAUUGAUGCGUAAAUAUAAAAAAGAAAUUUUUUUUCUCCAUUUUCUUCUCUCUUUCUUCCUCGACCAUCUCUCUCUCUUCUCUGUCGAUCCAAACAGCGAAUCGAAACCAAUUCAUCUAGAGACCGCAAAAAUUCAAUUGAUUUACUCACAGAUUCGGCGUUCAGGAAAACUAUCUCGGCUUCAUCGGCCAAGUUCCCUCUUACGAGUGUUUGAACUCUGUCAAAGACGAUUUGGAAUGGAAACGAUCUAUGUAGGCUCCGCAGAAGAUGAGACUUAUGAUCAGCUUCUCGAGAGUGUUCUUGUAGGGCCUGUUAGUGUUGCCAACUACUGGUUCGUUUUGCAGUGUUGGGUCUGAGACUCUGAGUAGGAGAUGGUGAGAAUCUCGCUGCUUUUGUUGUGUCUACUGGUUUCUUUUACUUGUCUUUUCAAUACUUCAUCAGCACAAGCUCCAGGUAAUUCACUGUUUCUCAGUACUUUAUUUUGUUGGUUGUUUCCUUUGUUGAAUUAGGAUUCUAGUUUUAUGUGAUGCAGUUGUUUUGCCUUUUGUUAACAAAUUCAAGAGCUUUGGUCUUUGAGAUUUGUGUGUGUGUUUAGUUGGACUGUAGUGAUUUCUUGUAUGGUGAUUUCGACAACAGUAGCAAUGUGUAUCCCAAAUUCGAUAUAACACCGACUUUGAAGAACUUGAUGUGACUGUUAACUUGUGUGUAGAGAACUUGACCUCUCUGCUAAAGAAUUGCAGGAGCAAGUUAGGAGUGGUGAUGCAAGUGCAACAGAGCUCGGUGCAGUGAUGCUGAGAAGGAAAUUUUACCCUGCAGCCAACAAGUUUUUGCAACAAUCUAUCAAGAAAUGGGUCGUGUUCUUGGAAUAGAAGGGAUCGAGCUUGUUGGCAUCAAUAACCGAAGUCUUGGUAAUACUUUUGUACAUAUUGCUAGUUCCGAUAUACUUUGUCUUAGAACAGUUCACUCAGAAAAUGAAAGUUUUGGUGUUUCAGAAACAUUUAAAGUAGACAUCAAAAAAUGAAAGUUUUGGUGUUCCAAA